rnacentral:tRNA from 2 species
GCCGAAGUGGCGGAACUGGUAGACGCGCUAGGUUCAGGGUCUAGUGGGCGUAUGCCUGUGCGGGUUCGAGUCCCGCCUUCGGCACCA